GUCAGCCUAGGAUGCCUGAGCUUCCCUGGAGAAUCUGUGGACAACCAGACCUCGGCGAACCAACUCAGAGCAUUUCCUGAAAAUGAACAUCCACCCAGAGGGAUUGAACCAGCGUCUCCUGCAUUGAAAGGCAGAUUCUUAAUCACUGGACCAUGAGGGAAGUCUCUCAGAAGAGUUUUCAUGAAAGAUCCAAGGGAAUGCUGUGUGAGUGUUUCCCACAGAGCGAGGGUGGCAUCUGCCUAGCUGGAGGGCUGGCAGCACACUGAAUCUGCCUGCAGUGGAUUCUGAAACAUAGAAUUGUGGCUAGUGGGAUGUCAAACAGGAUGAGACUGAGAGCUGCUUGCCGUGAUGGAGACUGGCAUUCCACCUCUGACCUGUUUCUGUCGUCUCCAAUUACUGGAUGCAGUGCCCUCCUUUGCCUCUUGGCUGUGGUUUGGCAGGAGUGUACCUGGGCUCUGCUGUGGCUGGAGGUGGGAAAGUGGGGCCUAGAAGAGCUGGACCUCAGCUUGCAGCAGCAAGGGGUCCCUUAUCACCACGCCAGCAGCAGGGCAAUGCCUGUGGGAAGCC
ensembl:lncRNA